CAAUUCUUCACUUUCUACUCUGGGGCUUUGUGCAAGCCUAUGGGUGUGUGUGUAUGUGAAAAGUGUUUGUUGCUCCCCCUCCUCCUCUUUUUACUCUUGGUGGACCGAAGACCUAUUUCAGAACCACUGGUGAAAUUGCAAUACGAUAGAACUUUGAAAAACCAGUGAGAAAACAGAGAUGACGAAAAGGCUGAUCGGGAAUCUUGGGAAACUCUGAAAGUGCUUUCUGGGUCUUUUAAAAGAAGGUUCUGGCUCCGGAAUCUUUGUUUCCUGCCGAAGAUUCCACCACAGGCACCUAGAUCUGGGACCAUACCCUUCUCCGUUUCUCUCUCUCCUUCUCCCCCCCCCCCCCCGGUCCUUCCUCUGUUUUUAACAAGAAGAAGAGGGGGAAAAAGCAAGGCAAGCAGCAUUCAUUGUAGGAACAGAAGCACACAUUGAAAAGACCGGGGGCAGCAGCAGCAGCAGUAGCAGCAAGCCAGCAAGACCUGCAGCUUCUCCUCCCCAGCUCUGGGAACCCUGAGAAAUCGUGGAUCUGCCACCCCCCACUCUCCAAAAAAACAAAACAAAAAAACAAAAAACUGCACAUCCCCGCAAGAUAUUUGCUGCCACCAUUUGGUUAAAAUAAGAAUUUUUUUUAAAGCGCUCUGAUGCAUAAUCCAAAAGGAUCAGGAGGGAGAGCCGGAUCCUCGCACCACCACCAACCACCACCACCAUCAUCUUGUCAAUUUCGGCUGAAAUGGGAUUUCCCCCCCUCUUCUUCCUCCUUACACUGCGCUGGAAAUUGCCGAUGGCUUUACGUCUUUAUAGAGGCUAAAGAGUCUUUCCUGAGAAUGAAGCAAUUUACAAUGCAAAUAGAGGCCUGUGGAGGGAUGGAUGCUUCACACUCUUAACAGCUUGAUGCACCUUAAUAGCUGGUUUUAUUUUCUGAUAUUAACAGAUGAAUAGUUGGCCAUCGCUGCCGGAAAUUACUGGCUUGAAAGGAGAGAGAGAAAAAAAAAUAAAAGUUCGGAAUAAAACUUUGAAGGCAACAGCUCUCCUUGGGAUGUGUAUUAGAAGCACACACAGUUGCACACACUGAAGCAGGUCACGAAUGCAUUGAAAGGAUGAAUAUUUUAAGGAUCAGCUUUGUGUUCUUGGGGAAAGAAAAUCUAUUUGCAGAAACAGUCUGGAUUCUAGCCAGGAGGGGAAGACAACCCUCCUUCCCUCUGUACACUCAACCUCAGAUCGUAUGAGGGAAGUGAGUUGUUAUCUUUGGUUAUCUAGCUGUAUGAGUGUAUUGGUCUUCAUAAAGCUAGAUAACCGAAAGUAAAAACUCCUUCAUGAUCUUCGUGCUGCUGCGCAAGGAAACAAGAGACUCCAGCAAGGGACAGUGAAGACAAAGCAAUGUCAGGAAUGCUUUCUGAAUGACACAUUUUGACCAUUCAAGGAAAGAAUAGAAGAAAUUCGCUGAUAGACGUAUGCCAAGUAUGUGUGUAUGCAUGUAUUUAGAGUUGUCAAGAUGCAAGCAUAUGAUGAUGAACCAUACGCUGCAAAGAGGAGAUGUUGCUCAUGGUAAACAAAUGCAUGUGAAAGUUCUUGCUGUUUUGGAGGAGGGAGACCCAGUACCUUAGAGGUUAAUGCAAUUGCAGUUGCUUGCUUUAAAAUAGACAUUUAGAAACGUUGAGCAUAUGUUGGGGGACGUGAUGUCACCCAUGACCUUGUGUGAUAUGAAAUAUUUAAUUUUUUAAAAAGUUUGCGUGCUUCCACCUACAGAGUGCAAAAUCUGUCUGUGAGACUGUUUAAGUUUUGUUGUUGGGAGUGCUGUUAUUUCAAGGGAUAAAAGAUGAAGGAUACAAAAUAAACAUUUGGACUGAAGAAUAAGGCAAGGUUAAUAAUUUCUGUCUACCAAGGAUUGGGUAGAGCUGCACAGAAUGGGAAAAAGAAAGGUUAUGGCUGAUUUUUUUUAAAAAGGAAACCAGUACUCUAUUCAACAUGCAAGCACAGAUGCUUCUCUGUUCCGAAAGGGUUUCCUUGAGGAAGCCAGUGAAGCAGAAAGACGUGAUGGAGGCUAGGUUGUCUCCCCCUCCCCUGUCAAAGUGUUAAGAAAGUAGUCUGUGUCUUACUCUGCGGCUAGCAUUGGAAAUGAAAGUGACAUUUACUCCAAAACCCACGUGUGCGCCUCCUCUCUUUUUGUUUAAGGAUGAUCAGAUCUAUCCAGGAAACAGCUCUGGCAUCCCAAACUGAAAUAAUUAGGACGUAUAUAGACCUGACAAAAAAAAUGGGAAAGGGGGUGUGGAAUCGGAGGGCCUGGUCUUGCCUAAUUGAUUCCGUUAAACGGAAUGCCUGAGAUGUGAACGGCUGGACGCUCCCAUUCCCACGCUCGGGGGCAAGUAGCAAUGCUAUGGCCCGGCAGCCUAUGACAGACAGCCCUGUUGGGGGUUGCCGUAUGGAAAAAAAAAUCAAGUGCGCCACACCAGACUCAUCUCCAUCCCUUAAGAAAGUGGAGGCAUUUCCCACCCACAGCCAUCUGCAGGCUCCCAAGUGGGGACCCCAACUGUUCAGUAGCUGCAGACUGUCUGUUUCUGUUAAUUCUAUAAACCACUGUUUCAGCUACUCAUAAUCAAGUGUAGGUUUCCAUCUGGGUGGAAAUUUUAUACAGCAGGCUUGGAGGGGGGCAGGGGCAGGGGGAAAGAAGUAUUAGGAUGCAAGAUGCUGAUAUCUUUUCUUGACAAAACUCAGGUUUUGGCCUAACAAAUAAAACACAGAGGCACACACCUAGCCCUACAUAGUUAUACAGAACCUGUGAUUAUAAUAUUUUAGUGUACCUUUAAAGAAUAGCUAAGAAGAAACCUUCUUGGGUUUGAGUGAAUUACACUUCCUAUGCUCUCAAAAGUGGACUUCCAUUGUUUCAGAGUUGCUCUGAUCUAGGCUAAAGAGACUCAUCCUAGGUAUUACUCAGAAGUAAGACUCGCUCAGUUUAAUAAGACUGACUUCAAAAUAGGUGCACACAGGACUGCCCAAUGUCAGUCCUGCCCAAUCACCCCCUCCCCCAUUAUAUGCUAGAGUAAUGUACAAUGUGUAUAUGUUCAUGCUUAUAGUGGGACAUACUUAGUAUAUGUGCAGGUUGAAGUUUGCAAACUUACCAGUUUACCAGUGAUGAUACAUAUUUUGUUUUUUUUUAAUCUGUUCCUUAUAAUGGAGGAUGCAUUUUUAAAGUAAGGCCAUUUGGACCUUAGGCGAGUAUGAUUUUGCAGGAGCUUAGUUUUAAGCAGCUUAAUAGUGAGUUUGCACUGUCCAGAGAGACUCUGUUUACAAAAGGGCCCGUUUUAGCUGCUGUGCACGUGCCAGAGUUUACUGCUGUAGUGACCAAUGAGCAGUCCCUUGUUUAUUUACUUUGGAAGUUCUGUUUGUGAGGCCAACCUUUCAUUGUUAAGUGCCUUUCUUCUUUUUCUUUACUGCAUGUCCAGGGGUGCUGUUUACCUAGAGCCAUUGUCUACUACAAUUAACAUUUACAUUACAAAGUGUGUGGUUUUCUUUUUCAAAGAGGUUCAAUUAAGGCAAUAAGAUGUUUUCUGGGGAAACCUUUUGUUUAGUGAAAUGCACUUAAAGCAGAGAAAGUACUCUUCCUCGCCAAAUUACUUUUACUUACCAAUUUUUUUUAAAAAAUUACAUCUUGGUCUGUAAAUUUGUUAAGGAAAGAACAGGAGGAUUUUCCCCCUUGUGAUUUUAUAAUUCUGUGUUAGCAAUUGUCACUUCAGAAUUGUCUUGUACCUUGCUAAUGUUACUUGAGUAUCAAUCAAUAAAAUACAUUUUAACAUUC